CUAACUUUAACUGGUGUCUGGUGCUCAACUGCAAUCACUGAUAUAUUGUGUGUUGUUUCUCUUGCUGGCUUUUCCACAGGUUCCUCUCUAAAUGAACUAGUCUACCAGAAUCCAGCCCACACUUUCAACAAACCUGAAGGAGCAGCUAAAAUUGAGUGUUCACACAGUAUUCAAAACUAUAAUACAAUCCUCUGGUACAAGAAAUCAAAGAACAGACAGCUGCAGUUGCUUGGAUACAUGAUGGGAGGCAGUGGAUCUCCAGAGAAGGGAGUGAAUGUGAAGAUAGCAGGGAGUGCAAAUAAAGACCAAAACUGCACAUUAACAAUUGAAGAACUCCAGCUGAACAGCAGUGCAGUGUACUUCUGUGCUGCUAGUUUACACAGUGCUACAUAUCACUGCGCCUCAGUACAAAAACCUCCACAACACAUUUUGUUAUCUCGCUGCUUCAGCUCACAGCCUCUUGCACCUGUAUGCUUUCCUUUUAUGAGGUGCUGAUAUAUCUUUAAUCAGACCUUUAUACAGAGGCAGCAGUGGUAGUUGAGAUGAUGGUUAUAAUGUUAAGAGGAGGAGGAUACACUUAUGGCACCACCCACCUCAUGCCUUCAUGUUGGUUUGCUGAUAGGAGGGUUUACUCAAAGAGGAGGAUGGAAAUAAUCAUAAUCAUCUGCCGACACACUGAGAAUAUCUUUUUGUAUCAACGAUCAAAUUAUUAACAACCCCAAAGACAACAUGAUCAUCUUAUUCCUAAGCAUUCAUUUGAACACUAUUCUGGUUUCAGGUAAUGUCAUCUAAGGUUUUGAGAUCUGUUUAAAGUUAAGUGUUUUACAGUGCUGCUAUUUUAGUUGUAACUGAAUUUUAUAACAUUGUUGAAUUUACCAGCACUCAUUCUUAUACACUGUCUUGUUUUUAAUUGAUGUCUUUUUCAGCAGGUUCCUCUCUCAGUGACCAAGUCCACCAGACUCCAGCUGACAUUUACAACACACCAGGACAAAUAGCCAAGAUCGAAUGUUUCCACACCAAUCCAAGCUUUGACCGAAUCUACUGGUACAAGCAAACAAGACAGACAGUUGCAGUUGCUGGGAUACAUGGUGGGAGGCAGUGGAUUUCCAGAAACUGGAGUGAAGGUUCCUCUCUCAGUGACCAAGUCCACCAGACUCCAGCUGACAUGUACAACACACCAGGAGGAACAGCUGAAAUGAACUGUUCACACAGUAUUCAGAGCUAUGACCGAAUCCUCUGGUACAAACAAACGGAAAGGCAACUACAGUUCCUGGGAUAUUUGUAUUUUAACAAUGGAUACCCAGAGACUGGAGUGAAGGUGAAGAUAGCAGGGAGUGCAAAUAAAGACCAAAACUGCACAUAAACAAUUGAAGAACUCCAGCUGAACAGCAGUGCAGUGU
rnacentral:lncRNA from 15 species